GCUCGUGUCGUUGAGAUGUUGGGUUAAGUCCCGCAACCGAGCGCAACCCUUGUCAUUAGUUGCUACAUUCAGUUGGGCACUCUAAUGAGACUGACCGGUGACAAACCGGAGGAAGGUGGGGAUGACGUCAAGUCCUCAUGGCCCUUAUAGGUGGGGCUACACACGUCAUACAAUGGAUGGUACAAAGGGCCGCCAACCCGCGAGGGGGAGCCAAUCCCAUAAAGCCAUUCGUAGUCCGGAUCGCAGUCUGCAACUCGACUGCGUGAAGUCGGAAUCGCUAGUAAUCGUGGAUCAGAAUGUCACGGUGAAUACGUUCCCGGGUCUU
rnacentral:rRNA from 1 species